rnacentral:tRNA from 20 species
GGGGCUGUAGCUCAGUUGGGAGAGCGCUUGAAUGGCAUUCAAGAGGUCGACAGUUCGAUCCUGUUCAGCUCCACCA